UACGGAGGGUGCGAGCGUUGUCCGGAAUCAUUGGGCGUAAAGGGCGCGUAGGUGGCGGGACAAGCGUGCGGUGAAAGCCUGGGGCUCAACCCCGGGUCGGCCGUGCAAACUGUUUUGCUUGAGCACUGUAGAGGCAGGCGGAAUUCCGGGUGUAGCGGUGGAAUGCGUAGAGAUCGGAAGGAACGUCGAUGGCGAAGGCAGCCACCUGGCACAAUACUGACGCUGAGGCGCGAAAGCGUGGGGAGCGAACAGG
rnacentral:rRNA from 1 species